rnacentral:rRNA from 1 species
AUUGAACGCUGGCGGCAGGCCUAACACAUGCAAGUCGAACGGUAACAGGAAACAGCUUGCUGUUUCGCUGACGAGUGGCGGACGGGUGAGUAAUGUCUGGGAAACUGCCUGAUGGAGGGGGAUAACUACAGGAAACGGUAGCUAAUACCGCAUAACGUCGCAAGACCAAAGAGGGGGACCUUCGGGCCUCUUGCCAUCGGAUGUGCCCAGAUGGGAUUAGCUAGUAGGUGGGGUAACGGCUCACCUAGGCGACGAUCCCUAGCUGGUCUGAGAGGAUGACCAGCCACACUGGAACUGAGACACGGUCCAGACUCCUACGGGAGGCAGCAGUGGGGAAUAUUGCACAAUGGGCGCAAGCCUGAUGCAGCCAUGCCGCGUGUAUGAAGAAGGCCUUCGGGUUGUAAAGUACUUUCAGCGGGGAGGAAGGGAGUAAAGUUAAUACCUUUACUCAUUGACGUUACCCGCAGAAGAAGCACCGGCUAACUCCGUG